UAAUACGUAGGGGGCUAGCGUUGUCCGGAUUUAUUGGGCGUAAAGAGCGUGUAGGCGGCCAUUUAGGUCCGGUGUGAAAACUCGAGGCUUAACCUCGAGAUGUCAUCGGAAACCAUUUGGCUAGAGUCCGGAAGAGGAGAGUGGAAUUCCUGGUGUAGCGGUGAAAUGCGCAGAUAUCAGGAAGAACACCAAUGGCGAAAGCAGCUCUCUGGGACGGUACUGACGCUGAGACGCGAAAGCGUGGGGAGCGAACAGGAUUAGAUACCCUGGUAGUCCACGCCGUAAACGAUGGGCGCUAGGUGUGGGCGGUGUCGACUCCGUCCGUGCCGAAGCUAACGCAUUAAGCGCCCCGCCUGGGGAGUACGGCCGCAAGGCUA
rnacentral:rRNA from 1 species